rnacentral:rRNA from 1 species
AUUGAACGCUGGCGGCAUGCCUUACACAUGCAAGUCGAACGGCAGCACGGGUGCUUGCACCUGGUGGCGAGUGGCGAACGGGUGAGUAAUACAUCGGAACGUACCUUAUCGUGGGGGAUAACGCAGCGAAAGCUGUGCUAAUACCGCAUACGCCCUGAGGGGGAAAGCGGGGGAUCGAAAGACCUCGCGCGAUUAGAGCGGCCGAUGCCUGAUUAGCUUGUUGGUGGGGUAAAAGCCCACCAAGGCGACGAUCAGUAGCUGAUCUGAGAGGACGAUCAGCCACACUGGGACUGAGUCACGGCCCAGACUCCUACGGGAGGCAGCAGUGGGGAAUUUUGGACAAUGGGGGCAACCCUGAUCCAGCAAUGCCGCGUGAGUGAAGAAGGCCUUCGGGUUGUAAAGCUCUUUUGUCAGGGAAGAAACACCGGCUCUAACACAGUCCGGGAAUGACGGUACCUGAAGAAUAAGCACCGGCUAACUACGUGCCAGCCGCCGCUGUAA